rnacentral:rRNA from 1 species
ACGCUCGACACCUACGGGAGGUAGCAGUGGGGAAUAUUGCACAAUGGGGGAAACCCUGAUGCAGCGACGCCGCGUGAGCGAAGAAGUAUUUCGGUAUGUAAAGCUCUAUCAGCAGGGAAGAAGAAAGACGGUACCUGACUAAGAAGCCCCGGCUAACUACGUGCCAGCAGCCACGGUAAUCUGAGCGGGCUGGCAAGGC